rnacentral:tRNA from 4 species
GGCGAGGUAGCUCAGCCGGUUAGAGCGUCGGAUUCAUAACCCGGAGGUCGGGAGUUCAAGUCUCCCUCUCGCUAC